AUACGGAGGAUGCGAGCGUUAUCCGGAUUUAUUGGGUUUAAAGGGAGCGUAGGCGGGAGCUUAAGUCAGCGGUUAAAUGGUGCGGCUCAACCGUGCCCUGCCGUUGAAACUGGGGUUCUUGAGAGUGCAAGAGGCGGAUGGAAUUCAUGGUGGUCCGGGGAAAUGCUUAGAUAUCCUGAAGAAAUCCGAUUGCGAAGGCAGUCCGCUGGGGCACGUCUGACGCUGAUGCUCGAAGGUGCGGGAAUCAAACAGGAUUAGAUACCCUGGUAGUCCGCACGGUAAACGAUGAUUACCCGCUGUCGGCGGUAGACAGUCGGCGGCCAAGCGAAAGCGAUAAGUAAUCCACCUGGGGAGUACGCCGGCAACGGUGAAACUCAAAUGAAUUGGCGGGG
rnacentral:rRNA from 1 species